GAUGAACGCUGGCGGCGUGCCUAAUACAUGCAAGUCGAGCGAACAGACGAGGAGCUUGCUCCUCUGACGUUAGCGGCGGACGGGUGAGUAACACGUGGAUAACCUACCUAUAAGACUGGGAUAACUUCGGGAAACCGGAGCUAAUACCGGAUAAUAUAUUGAACCGCAUGGUUCAAUAGUUAAAGACGGUUUUGCUGUCACUUAUAGAUGGAUCCGCGCCGCAUUAGCUAGUUGGUAAGGUAACGGCUUACCAAGGCGACGAUGCGUAGCCGACCUGAGAGGGUGAUCGGCCACACUGGAACUGAGACACGGUCCAGACUCCUACGGGAGGCAGCAGUAGGGAAUCUUCCGCAAUGGGCGAAAGCCUGACGGAGCAACGCCGCGUGAGUGAUGAAGGUCUUCGGAUCGUAAAACUCUGUUAUUAGGGAAGAACAAAUGUGUAAGUAACUAUGCACGUCUUGACGGUACCUAAUCAGAAAGCCCCGGCUAACUACGUG
rnacentral:rRNA from 1 species